AUGGCAGAGUGUAACAGAGAAGAUUAUUUCGUUGCCAAUGACGUUGAGUCAACAUCUGGGGGCAAGAAAUAUGGUGGGCUUGUCCCAAAGAAAAAGCCUUUGAUUUCCAAAGAUAAUGAAAGGGCAUUUUUUGAUUCAGCAGACUGGGCAUUAUGCAAGCAAGGUGCUGGAGUGAGUCAACAAUCUACUGCAGCAGUUGAGACCCUGCGACCAAAACUACAGAAAACUCCACAUCAACAACUUCCCCCAAGAAGACCAGCAUGCACAUCUGGUUGA